GCACCCGUGGCUCAAUUGGAUAGAGUUCCUGACUACGAAUCAGGCGGUUACAGGUUCGAAUCCUGUCGGGUGUA
rnacentral:tRNA from 1 species